rnacentral:rRNA from 1 species
UGGGGAAUAUUGCACAAUGGGCGAAAGCCUGAUGCAGCAACGCCGCGUGCGGGAUGACGGCCUUCGGGUUGUAAAACCGCUUUCAGCAGGGACGAAGGUUUUCUGACGGUACCUGCAGAAGAAGCACCGGCUAACUACGUGCCAGCAGCCGCGGUGAUACGUAGGGUGCGAGCGUUGUCCGGAAUUAUUGGGCGUAAAGAGCUUGUAGGCGGUCCGUUGCGUCGGAAGUGAAAACUCAGGGCUUAACCCUGAGCCUGCUUUCGAUACGGGCGGACUUGAGGGAUGUAGGGGAGAACGGAAUUCCUGGUGGAGCGGUGGAAUGCGCAGAUAUCAGGAGGAACACCAGUGGCGAAGGCGGUUCUCUGGACAUUUCCUGACGCUGAGAAGCGAAAGCGUGGGGAGCAAACAGGCUUAGAUACCCUGGUAGUCCACGCCGUAAACGGUGGGCACUAGGUGUGGGACCCAUUCCACGGGUUCCGUGCCGUAGCUAACGCAUUAAGUGCCCCGCCUGGGGAGUACGGCCGCAAGGCUAAAACUCAAAUGAAUUGACGGGGUCAUAGCUG